AUGUACUUGUCAAGGUAUAGCUUGACAAGCUUGGACCUCUCUUCCUCCCCAGGCAGAGGGAAUUCGAGAACCUCAUCGAUACGGUCAGCAACAGCGGAGUCAAGGUCACCAGGCCUGUUGGUUGCUAGUGCAAGCACAAUGUCCUUGGACUGGUCACCUGUCCGGAAAAGGAGAGCAUUCAGAGCACUCCUUUGA
rnacentral:rRNA from 1 species